rfam:Anaerobium acetethylicum strain GluBS11 genome assembly, contig: Ga0116910_1004
GGAUACCAGGGUCAAAAGGUCAUGCGUUUCAUGCUUGCAUGAAAAAGCAUGACCUUGGGACCCGCCAAAACAUGAGAAAGAAGCCCGACCAGGGCGGAUUUCUCAUGUUUUCAGGAUUGUGGGAGCACGAAGUGCGUAACAAUCCGCAGGUAUCC